ACGCUCGACACCUACGGUAGGCAGCAGUCGGGAAUAUUGCGCAAUGGAGGGAACUCUGACGCAGUGACGCCGCGUAUAGGAAGAAGGUUUUCGGAUUGUAAACUAUUUUAGACAGGGAAGAAUAAAGACAGUACCUGUAGAAUAAGCUCCGGCUAACUACGUGCCUGCAGCCGCGGUAAUCUGAGCGGGCUGGCAAGGC
rnacentral:rRNA from 1 species